UACGUAGGGUCCAAGCGUUACGUCCGGAAUCACUGGGCGUAAAGCGUGCGUAGGUGGCGUGUUAAGUGUGAUGUUAAAUCGUGUGGCUCAACCAUAUCGAUGUGUCGCAUACUGGCAUGCUAGAGGACAGCAGAGGCAAGUGGAAUUUGUAGUGUAGCAGUGAAAUGCGUAGAUAUUACAAGGAACACCAAUGGCGGAAGGCAGCUUGCUGGGCUACUCCUGACACUGAGGUACGAAAGCGUGGGGAGCGAACAGG
rnacentral:rRNA from 1 species